rnacentral:rRNA from 1 species
UACGGAGGAUGCAAGCGUUAUCCGGAAUGAUUGGGCGUAAAGGGUCCGCAGGUGGCAAUUUAAGUCUGCUGUCAAAGAAUGAGGCUUAACCUCAUCAAGGCAGUGGAAACUACAUAGCUAGAGUACGGUCGGGGUAGAAGGAAUUCCUGGUGUAGCGGUGAAAUGCGUAGAGAUCAGGAAGAACACCGGUGGCGAAAGCGUUCUGCUAGACCUGUACUGACACUGAGGGACGAAAGCUAGGGGAGCGAAUGGG